rnacentral:lncRNA from 1 species
GACACACACACACACGUAUACUAACACAUACCUCUCCCUCACCCAGAUCCCACCCCUUCCCGACCUUGCUCAGCAGCCAGGUGUCAGAUACCCCCAGCGUAACCUAACACAAACGCAUACACAUACACACACAGGUUGAGUAAUAGAGCUCAUUAUUUAUUAGGUAGACCUCCUGAGCUCAACCCUGAAUCAUUCAUUUGGUGAAGCUGCUCUCCUGCAUGGAGUUAUGGUGUACACACUGCCCUGCCUCUCUCUGACCUAACCGGCUAACUGCUGACCACUGAAUGACUGCUAACGGUGGACUGGGUUACUACCAGACCUGGACUACAACUACUACUGCUGUAGCUAACCUGUUGCUAUCAUAAGACUGGACUACUACUAUUGUAACUUUCCUGCUCUAAUUGUUUCUACAUUAUGGUGGCAUGUACUGCCCUGAAUAUCGUCGAAUCUAACCUGCUAACCGUGGCUAACUGUCGCUAACUGUGGACUGGGUUACUACGUUAGGCCUGGACAACGGCUCUAAGAUCUAAACUGCUGUAACACUGUGACCUGCUGUAGCUAAAUUGCAACAUUGGAUUGAACAAUGGUGCUAAGCCCUCUAACAUUGAGCUGACAUUGCCUCUUUCUCUCUAACCUGCUGCCUCUGACCAGCAAACAGCUAACUGGGCUAACAGCUAAUUGGGCUUACUGGGCUAACAGCUAACUGGUAACUAGGCUAACUGGUAACUGGGCUAACAGCUAACUGGGAUAACUGGGCUAGCUCCAGCAUGGCCAUCACUCUUCUCCUGAUCAUCACCUUCUACCUGGGAUACACACACUCACAGGCUGACGUAUCCAGUCUGAGUCCUCGAACAGUGUUUACGGUCAUGGUGACCGCCGCCUCCUCCUCCAACCUCAGCCCACCGGUCAGCCGUAUAAUCAACACCAACAAGACCGG